rnacentral:rRNA from 1 species
UACGGAGGUGGCAAGCGUUGUUCGGAAUUACUGGGCGCAAAGGGCUCGUAGGCGGCCAACUAAGUCGGACGUGAAAUCCCUCGGCUUAACCGGGGAACUGCGUCCGAUACUGGAUGGCUUGAGGUUGGGAGAGGGAUGCGGAAUUCCAGGUGUAGCGGUGAAAUGCGUAGAUAUCUGGAGGAACACCGGUGGCGAAGGCGGCAUCCUGGACCAAUUCUGACGCUGAGUGAGCGAAAGCCAGGGGAGCAAACGGG